rnacentral:rRNA from 1 species
UACGUAGGGUGCAAGCGUUAAUCGGAAUUACUGGGCGUAAAGCGUGCGCAGGCGGUUUUGUAAGUCUGUUGUGAAAUCCCCGGGCUUAACCUGGGAAUGGCAAUGGAAACUGCAAGGCUAGAGUUUGGCAGAGGGGGGUAGAAUUCCACGUGUAGCAGUGAAAUGCGUAGAGAUGUGGAGGAACACCGAUGGCGAAGGCAGCCCCCUGGGUCAAGACUGACGCUCAUGCACGAAAGCGUGGGGAGCAAACAGG